GCCGCAGCGCUGGUCACCCCAAUGGAUUUAUCUCAAGCACCACCGCCACGCCAGAAGAAUAACAAACGCAAGGGGAGAUGGGAUGAAAAUGUUUCAGGGAGAGGGAGAAAAGGUGUCAUUGGGAAGAUCUGGGAUGCACAGUGAAAUUUCUCCUGGGCCGCGGAGCAUUGAAGGUGAGGAGCAAUAUCAAGGAGAGGCAAUCACCUCCAGAGCGAAACCCUAACCCCGCUCUCCUUCAGCACCUCCAUUUUCUCUGUCUCUACAUCCCUCUUUCAAUUUAAAUUCCCUCCGCCUGCGCUCUCGGUCUCACCUUCUGCGAACACGUGUUUGACAAUCAUUCCUUCCCCAAGCCCCUUCAUUCCUCUAUUUGUCAAUUUAUGAAUAAGGAAAUGAACUUCAGAAGCCUGUAUAUCUGAUCAGCUCUUGUUUGUUUCUAUAACUCUAUCUUUAUCAUGUCUAUUUCUUUUAAUAUCAGGAUUUUUGUGAUAUGCAGAAUCCUAUUUCAUUAAUAAACCUAUUUGAAAAGCA
rnacentral:lncRNA from 1 species